rnacentral:rRNA from 1 species
CCUACGGGAGGCAGCAGUGGGGAAUAGUGGGCAAUGGGCGCAAGCCUGACCCAGCAACGCCGCGUGAAGGAAGAAGGCUUUCGGGUUGUAAACUUCUUUUGUCAGGGAAGAGGAGAAGACGGUACCUGACGAAUAAGCCACGGCUAACUACGGGCCAGCAGCCGCGGUAAGACGUCGGUGGCAAGCGUUGUCCGGAUUUACUGGGUGUAAAGGGCGGGUAGCCGGGUUGACAAGUCAGAUGUGAAAUCCUGCGGCUUAACCGCAGAACUGCCUUUGAAACUGUUGAUCUUGAGUACUGGAGAGGCAGCUGGAAUUCCUAGUGUAGCGGUGAAAUGCGUAGAUAUUAGGAGGAACACCAGUGGCGAAGGCGGUCUGCUGGACCGCCACUGACGGUGAGGCGCGAACGCGUGGGGAGCAAACAGGAUUAGAUACCCGAGUAGUC